UGGAAAUAGGGGAAAAUAUAGGCCGGAGGGACUGUCCGACUUCUUCCAAAAGAAAAUUCGUUCCCCCACCCCCAAAAGGAUAAUCUUGCUCAAUCUGGGAUGAGUGCAACACCAAGUGUUCAGAUAUUACUGGGGCGGUGGUGGUGGUGGCGGAGGAUAGACGAUGAAGUUCAACUUCGCUUGCAGACGCGAUCUCCCCCAAACAGCCAGACAACCAACCAGACAGUCGGGGCUUUUUACGCGAAGUCCCCAUAUGGCUGCGGGAUGCUGACACCUGCGCGGUACGCAGGUAACAACAACCGGGCAGCAUCACCUACUUCUGCAGACACUGACAGACAGCAGAUCAGCGGCUCGGUGGCUCAGAACCUAUUGUGGAGCCACCAUGGCUGCCAACAACAAGACAUGAUGACAUUGUCCCGUUUUCACGCUGGAGGCCUCCCAGUAAGGAGUGCUCUUGAAUACCUCUUUAGUGUGACAUGGAGUCGGGCCCGCAACCACCAGCGGAGCUGAGCUGGGCUGCAGAGCUGCUGAGACCUGCCAGACCCACAGCUUCCCCUGCCAGGGGCCUCGGCUCGCAGUCAGAGUGAGUUAAAACCCAUGCUCCUGACACACACAUGCUAAUCCUGAAACACACACACACACACACACACACACACACACACACACACACACACACACACACACACACACACACAUAGCUUAAACAUGUACAGUAUGCAUGCAUGAAUGCAGGCAUACGUGGAACACAUAGUGAAGCUUAUGUGUACAACCAUAAACCUACACACAUGCAGACAGACAAAAAAAUCCUUUAUGUAAGAAUGCGGAUAAAUGCAAAUGUAUUCACACACUUGCCAGUACAACCACAUUCUCAUACAUAAUGAUACCCCGCUAACAGUAGAUGUUGCCCCAUUGGACCAGUCAAUGCAUCAGGAAGGCCGCUGCAUGCACAACUACUUCUAUACUGUAAGUGCAAGAGCUUAGCAGAAGGGGCAUGUCUGUGAAUGAGUGAGCGAGUAAGUGACACACGGCAUCAAUAUGUGACUGUAUAUAUACCGUGUAGAAGGGAGCAUUGUGCAUAUGUUUUAGCUGCAUAGUUGUGUCAGUAUGUGCUUCUCACUUAAUCUUUUUCCUCAUGGCUCAGACAGGAUCCCCUACACCCCAUCUCAAGAUGAUGAGAUGAAGCAAGUAGUCUAAGUUUAGAGAGGGUAAUCAAUCCCACAAGCUCCUGGUUUAGUGCCCAUGUUUCAGAUUUUUAUUUUCCUGGGGAAAAAAGUUCUGCCACAUGUAAGCCAAUGAAUUGUCUGUUUAUAAUAAUGAAAAGUCUUUAAUGAUUAAUUAUACAUGUAUGCUUCUAACUUGUAAACUCAACCAUGGUGAUUUCCAUGUUUAUAUUGUACUACAGUUAUGUGUUUACAGGUUUCCUAUGAGUUGAAUAAAUUCCAUGGCAUCAUGCCCUUACAAAUUAAAAAAGUCUUUUUUUUUAACUCAAAGUAUGAGGUAAAAUCUUUCUGUGGCUACAUUCAUACGUCCAGGGUUUGUGCCCCACAACCAGAGUUUACGAGACCUCUGUAGAUGCUCCUCAUCUCUGCUUGAGGCUAGCAUGCACUGACUUUACACACUGAGUGCACAUGUGUGGUGUGGAGUUUAUCAGGGCCUUUAGACAACAAAACUGGUACAAGAAACUUGAAGAAGGUUGAGCGGUGCAUUGCCUUCAAUUAUAGAAUAUAGUUGUAGUUUAUAUUGCCACUGUAUCUGGACAUAAUCAUAUGUACACACACUUGAGGGCUGACAAACCGUCUUUUUGGCUGGACGCUGUUCGAAUGUAUCUCACAGCAGUGUGUGAAUGGUUUGCUAUAGAGCUUGUGUCUACAUUAAUCUCAGGAACGGUGAUGUGGCCCAGAGUUUAAUAGAAUGAGGCGUGGGUGUGGAGUAAGAGUCCCUCGGAGCAGAGUUAUGGUCUUAAAGUACUAAAAAGCUUUUGACCCAGACCCUACGCACCCACUCACAGGGACACAGCACCUCUCUCCCAGCAAAACACAUACUUUCACUUUGGCUAUGCAGCAAAGAAACACACACACUUGGAUACACAUGAAAAAAAAA